UCAGAGUCUUACAUUUACGGUGUAUUAACUCUGAAAGGGAGUGAAAUCUUUGUCUUAUUCUUACUGUAACUAACGUAACAUAACAUAAUCGAAUAUAUUCCAUAAAGACAGAAUAUUACAUUACUCUUAUUUUAGCGAUGCAUAUGUAGGGGAGCCUACAAAGUCUAUUCGGUAAAGACUUUUAUUUUGAUAUUGCGAUGACAUGUACACCGCCAUUUUGUGCGAGGAGAGGCGGGGUGAGAGGGAAUUAGAGCAGCGGCGGGAGUUGAGCUGAGGAGUGAACUUCGGGAAUAUUACAGCGGUAAAAAAAAAAAAAAAAAAAAAAAAGUUCAGUUUAGACCCCUGACGUGUUCCAGAGACACAUUACGUUGUUUCUAAAAAUCAGUUUGUCUUUAACGAGUCUGUUCUAGAAGGCGAUGAAACGGGUUUUCCUUCGUGUGUGUGUGUGGGUGGAGCGGGGAAAUAGGCCUGUUAGCGCUUACAGAGUUAUUAGCCGGUGGAGUCGAAUACUCCCGUUUUUUCUUUAUGUUUCACGUAGAGUUUUGUUUUGUUUUGUUUGUUCAAACGAACUCAAAACGUAACGGAUGCCAUUACUUAUGGUGUGAAAAGAGUUGGCUGACUUAUCGGAUAGGGUCGUGUAUUGUCCGUUUUCUCCACUGGAUCUCCGUUAGCCGGGAUUGCGGCCUCGCUGGAUCAAACUAGUCUUGAGCGUGAGCACAAUCGCUAAGGGUCAUUGGGUGGAGAGACAUUACUCUGCCCUCUGCUGGACAUUCAGCGCCUCAUCCAAGUUAUAAGAGUGCUGAUGGACAUUAUGCUUCCCAUCUUCAACUGAACACUGUGAUGAGUAGCAACCAGGUCCACCUGUGACUGUACUGAAAGGCUUGAAGGGCUUCUUACAUGCUAAACUGCGUCAAGCAGGGUUGUGUCCUGGGGCCGACCCUGUUCAGCCUCAUGUUCUCCGCAAUGCUGACUGACGCCUUUGGAGACGGUGAUGCUGGGAUCGGCAACAAGUACCGCACAGAUGGUAAUCUGUACAACCUCAGGUUGCUCCCAGCGAAAACCGAGGUUUCGACAGACAUCAUCAGGGAUUUCCUCUUUGCUGAUGACCGUGCCCUUAACAAUAGCACAGAAACGGACAUGCAACGCAGCGUUAACAGGUUUUCUAGUGUCUGCACAAACUUCCUUCUCCAUCAGCACCAAGAAGACUGAGGUCAUGCUUCAGCCAGCCCAGGGAAGCCCUAUACAGAGUCCAAUAUCACUGUCAAUGGUCAGAGACUGAAAACAGUGACCAAGUUCACCUCGGCAGCACGUUGUCACAAAAUGCCACAAUAGAUGACGAAGUUAACGUCCACAUUGCGAGAGCCAGCUCAGCUUUCGGGAGAUUGUAUGCCAAGGUUUGGAACCGAAGAGGCAUCACCAUCCAGACCGAGCUGAAAGUGUACAGGGCAGUUGUGCUCCCCACACUGCUGUAUGCAUGCGAAACGUGGACAGUGUACCAACGUCAUGCCAGGAAACUGAACCAUUUUCACACCACAAGUCUCAGGAAAAUCCCUGGCAUCAAGUGGCAGAACAAAGUCCCAGACACUGUGGUUCUCAAUCAAGCAGGCCUCCUAAGCAUCUUCACCAUCUUGAUGACGACCCAGCUACGCUGGGCAGGACGAGUGACAGACCAACGUCUACCAAAGAUACUCCUCUAUGGCAAGCUCCAGCAAGGUCAGCGUUGCCAAGAAGGCUAAAAGAAACGCUUCAAAGAUACCCUUAAAGCCUCACUGAAAGCGUUUAACAUCAAUCCUGCCUCCUGGGAACAGACUGCAUUGGAUCGUGACACCUGGUGCUCCUCCAUCCACAAGGGCUCUUUGCUGUGUGAGAUAAAUUGGACAGCUGCAGCCGAACGAAAGGGGCAAGCCAGAAAAACCCGUGCCAGCAACCUUCCCGGAGACGUCCACCCCAUCCCCUGUCCCACCUGCCUUAGGACUUUACGUGCAAAGAUUGGCCUGACCAGCCAUCUACGCAUGCUUCAUCUCUGAUGACAAAAUGGUCUUCGUCGCCACGACGGACAACUAAGAAGAACUAGGAAGUUCUCCUUGUUGAGUGCUGUAUUGAGGCUAAGCCGGUAAUUUUGUAAACACACUCGAGUUUAUCUCUCAGGUUUCCCGUCUCUCUGCAGCUUUCUCGCUGUGUCAGACCAAACCUCUUGGACCUUGUCUCUUGGGGUUUCUCUGGUUUUCUCCAGUUCCUUGCUUUAAAAAAAACUUGUUUACUUAUUUCCUUUGUAAGUCGGUCCUCUCUGACCUUUUAUUUUCAGUUUACUCCUCGUGAGCGUUUGGCUAGGCCCACUCCAUGGUCUGUUUGUGCAGGGUUGGUAGUUCACUGCGCUGCAUGUUGGUCUCUCCAUCCUCCAGCCUCAGGUUCAAGUCCAGUGUGGCGUAACCCUUUGUUUCCCCCUCUUUGUGGUGAGGUGUUCUUCCUUAAGUUCAUUUCCCGAGGCCUAGCCCUAAUUACUGAGAGAGUAGUUAGUCAGAGUUCCUUGGUAGUUAAUGAAAGAGGAUUCGUUCUUUGGAUGUUUUAGUCCUGCAUAUUUAUGUAUGAACUAUGAAGUAUUGUACAUUACUCGUGUUUGUGUUAUUUGUAUCUGUCAAAACAUGUCUAGUGUAAUGGUAUAAAUCUUAAAAAAUAAGUAGGACCAAACAUCAUUAUAUUUAUUAAUUUAUUGGAAUAUAAAAAGUGCAGAGUGCAGUAGGAACGUGACAGUGACAGAAACACAAACCAGUUAUGAUUACAGUAGAAGAAAUUAGCUUUACUUUAAUAAUGUACUUUAGACACAAUUUCAUGUCUUUUCACUGUCCUAAAUACUCUGCACUGGUGUAGGGGUGGAAAAGAACAACAACAAAAAAAAAGCCUUCACUCAGAUUUCUCACUAAGGUUUUGGUUUUCCAGAGCAUCGUUGGCGAGAUUCACGAUCUGAUCGAGUGCCUUGAGGAUCAGAACAUCCACGUCAUUGUUUGAACUUGAGUUCGUGCAUGGCCAGGAAGUGUAGUUCUUGUCGGCCAUGUUUGUAGUUGGCACUGCAUUCUGGGAAUUGCAGUUGCAAGUUCACCACAAUGUGACACUAAUAUACACCAUUUAAUUACACAAUUACCUUUUCUUUGAUCUUCUUGCUGGUGUAGACCUUUCUUAGGUCCUCUUUAACCAGUUUGCAGGCUUCGUCCUCUUUUGUCAAGAUGAUUACGUGAGGCAAAUCUGUACAAUAGGAUGAAUACCUGCAGUGAUUAAUUCUUAUCACAGUCAUUUAUCACUGAUUACAAUUUUUAUUAAAUAAGUUUUAUUAAUUAGAUGCAUUCAGUGUUGUGUAACAUCCACGAUAGAAGUUAUCUUCUGUUAUCGCUUCUGCUCUCGCAGCUAUAAACAGUUUCUCUUACGAGUCUCUCUCUUUAUUUUCUCCCCUGAUGUUAAUAAGAUAAAAAUCACAGCUUGUCGUGUUCCUGAGAAACCACUAAUCAUAAUCUCCUCUGUCCUGAAGAUCAGAAAACUCUGUUGCAGCUUUACCUCUGACUAUAAUAACAGGACUUACUAUACUCUGAAGCCUUUUCACGGAUCCGUUUCAUCUUUUGAAUAAGCUUUUGGUCCAUGAGUGACACUUUGUUUGCAGGUAUAAUGUUGACCAGGCAGAAGGGUUUAUCAGAAGUUUUGCAAUUUGCAAACUGCAAAUUGGUGAAAGAAUAAAAAUUACAGAUGUUUUACUGUGCAAAAAUCAGUGUAGGUUACUACAGAACUCCAGCUGUACUAUAAAGACUGACUACAUGAACAGUAUUCUAACGUCAUAUAUAUUAACAUUAUAUACCGUAACAAUGCUAAAAAUAACGGUUUUGUCUCAUAUUUUGAGAGUAAAAUGUUCCCCUCACUUUAUAUCAGGGGUGUCCAAACUUUUUUUAGUGAGGGCCAAAUACAGAAAAAUAAACAAAGGGCCGGGCCACACACUAGAGGUGAAAUAUUGACACAUGAAUACGAACAAACAGUUUAGGGUUUAAAAUUUAAAAUGAAUAAAGAACUGUUUAUUAUUAAAGUAAAAAGUGUGGCAUGAAUUAAAUACAAUGUCAGUUGUGUGUGUUUGCAAAGAGUCAGGUUAAUAACUGGAACUGCACUGCCCGUGCAGUGGAACGAACAGGCCUGUAGGUGGCACAGGUGUCGUAACUGUGUGUCUAUUUCUAACUCACCUAUAAUGUGAAGAACGUUGCACUCAGUGGGAGCAGUGAUGCUGUCCUUUGGAUUGAAGGAUGGCUGAAAUGUCAGGAGAAAGUUUGGUGGUUGAGACAUGAAGGACUUCACAGAGAUGGCUAUCAGCCAUUCUGGUUCUCAAUCUGCUUUUGUUCUGAUUUAACAGAGAAAAUGCUUGUUCACAGAUGUAUGUUGAGCCGAACAGGCUCAUCAUUCUUUUUGCGUGGCGUCUCAUCAGAGGAAACUUGGCACUAUCCAAACUCUGAUAGAAGUCAAGGGGGGAGAGAAGCUGAUGUUGACUCUUCAGAGAAUCAUCGCAUUGCAUUUCAAUCAGUUCUAACUGCAGACUCUCUUCCACUUCUUCUGCAUCCACCAGGAAGGGGGUCGAGAACAGCUUGAUUUGUUUUUCAAUGACAGAAAAAUCUUGGAAACGCAUGUUGAAUUCUGUCACGAGAGAUGUAAUCACAAACACAUUUCCCCUUUUUAUCAGAAAGGACGGCCUUUGGAAAAGCAGACUUGAUUUCAGACAGCACAGGGAAGUGUGCAGCAUUACAGCUUCGUAGUUGCAUCUCAGACAGGUGGAGCUUUACACAGAAGGCUUUCAUGUGCGCAUACAGGUGUGGCACCAGCUGUUCUUUGCCUUGUAGGUUCUUGUUCAGUGUAUUCAGAUGAUGAGUAAGAUCAACUAAAGAUGCCAGGUUGGCUAACCACAGAGGGUCACUCGGUUCAUGAAGAGGUCGGCCCUUUUCUUUCAUAAACCGAUCGAUUUCUGAUCUCAUCGAAUAAAACCGCUGCAGCACAUAGCCGCGGCUCAGCCAGCGCACCUCAGAGUGGUAGAGUACAUCCCCGUAUCCAGCAUCCACUUCAGAAAGGAAAGCUUGAAAUUCUCUGUGGUACAGACCUCUAGCUCGAAUUAUGUUGACAGUUUUUACAACAGUGUUCAUCACAUCGCCCAGCUGGACAGUCUUGGCACACAGUGCUUCUUGGUGGAUUAUACAGUGCAUCCUAAAAGCCUCACCUCCGCUCUCUUUUACCUUGGCGCACACCAUCGAUGCCAUUCCUUUACGAUCGCCCGUCAUGGGCGGAGCUCCAUCCGUUGUUAUUCCACAGAGCUUGUCCCAUUUAAGCCGCAUCUUUUCAACUACCUCUGACACAGCUUCAAAAAUAUCUCUACCCGUCGUUGUGCCUUUUAGGCUUAUAUCAAGCAGCUCCUCAGUACAACAAAAAUUAUCAUCAACAGCUGUGCAGUGUCUGUAGCAUCUGUGCUCUCAUCGCAUGCUAUCGAGUAAAAAUCAAAAGCACAAGCUUUGUCUCUCAGCUGAAGUUUCAAGUUAGCUGACAAGUCCUCGAUUCUUCGCACCACUGUAUUUCUGGAUAAGCUCACGUUGUUGAAAUCCUGCACUUUCUCCGGGCACAUUAUUUCUGCGACUUUGAUGGGGCACUGCUUUAUGAAACCACCGUCUGAGAACGGUUUACCGUGCUGGGCAAUAAGUUUAGCGACUUCAUAGCUUGCUGUUGUGGCGUUUUCCUGUAUUUUUUUGGCACCGAAAAAAAAAACUGUUGUUGAGCUUGCAGGCUAGCUGCCAUUUGCUUGACUUUCUGUGUUCGUUCGGCACCGGUGUACGAUGUGUAGCUCUGAUGUUUGGUUUCAUAGUGCCGACGGACAUUAUAGUCUUUCAUCACAGCAACAUCUUCAUUGCAAAUCAAACAGACACACUUUCCGUUGAUUUCUUUGAAAAAUAUUCAUUUUCCCACCGUGUUUGAAAUCUUCUACACUCACUUGCUAUUUUUCAUUUUCUGGGUGCUGCCAUUUAUGGUGACUUGCGGUAAAAGUUUUUCUUUGCUUAAUUUUGUUUAGUAGCGGUAACGGUUGAGAAGCACCGUUUCCGUGGCUGGCUCCAUCUAGUGUUGAAACUGAGAAGUGCAACAGAGUCGAGCUCAAGCUUCUAGUGUGGGCCAUAUUCAAUUAUAUUUUCAGAAUUUGCCGCGGGCCAAUAAAAACUGGACCGCGGGCCGUAGUUUGGACACCCCUGCUUUAUAUCCUUCCUCAAGAAACCCCUUUAAGGCUGUGAUGUCCUUUACAUGUGUGCCUUGACUAUCAUCAAUAUUAAUGUUUAUUUUAUGCUGUGCUCCAUGAUUUUAGUCGAGUCACAUCACGUACUCGUUCGUUACACAUUCUCACUCCUAGAUUAACUCCCAUAAUUGGGAAAAUAAAUUCAUUAAUAACUAGGCUAAAUCGGGAGUAAAUAAUAAACAGUAUCAGUAUGUAAUAUUAAGGUUAACAUAUCAUCAUCUGAUUAAAUAUUAUAAGACUAAGACUCCUGGAGGUGGUGAUGGAGAUGGUGGAGGAGAAAUAUAUGGAGGAAUUUUAGUCUCAGGCCCUCCCAUUUUAUUCAGUUCAAUGAAUCCAGUUGAACAAUGCUGAAGGGAAAAAGUAGAUUUUGACUGUUAGUUCCAGUAAAAAAAAAAAAAGCUAUAAAUAAUAAUAAUAUAUUAGAGAUGCACCGAUACUAAAUUUCUCAGCCGAUACCGAUAAGCGAUUAUUCAGAGUGAUAUCGGCCGAUACCCAUAGUUCUGCCAUCUGUUCCUUCUUUUAAAUUGAUAAUAAUUAAUUUAAAAAAAUUCUGAAGGAAUUGCAAAUAAAAACCUUAUUCUGUCCAUUUCAGCAAGUUGUUUCACGGUAACUGGUCUCAUGAACAGAAAACACAUUACUCGCAUUAACAGGAACUCAAUUCUGAAGAUUAAAGUAAGAUUUCUUCACUUAUUGAAUGUUAUUAAUUCAUUAACAUUGAUUAUGAGAUAUACUACUUUACAAAUAUAUUCUUAUGUACAAUAUAUAUACUUUUUUUGCCAACUCGUCUUCAUUUAAAUCUUUCAACGUGUACUGGCCUUUUAAUUCAGGGGGGCGGGGAUCGACUCAACACUGAAACUCCUCCGUCGUAAAAUUUACUUCCGUUAUUAGUGCAGAGAUGACAGACAUUGCAGAGUUUACAAACUGCAGAUUUGUCAUCAUUCCACACAAGAGACGACAUCUUUACACACAGCACGAAAUCCAUGUGUUUUCCCGCCCUCUUUUGAUUGACAGGAUAUAAUCGGCCCUGAUCAUCAGAUGUUUUUAAACUAAUAUAUAUAUAUAUGUGUGUGUGUGUGUGUGUGUGUGUGUGUGUGUGUGUGUUACAACCCACUAUCUUUGGAAUGGGAAGUUUUUUGUGUGCUGUGCCAUAUUUUGUGUGCAGGUCGAACUCCCUCCCAGAGUUUCCAGCCUGCCCUAGCCUGCCUUUCUCCUGCCUCCCAGGAUGACAUCCAUAUUUAAAGAGGAAAAGGAGGGAGAAUGGUGUGGGAUGAUGGAGGUGGUUACAUGUGUUGGUGUUUAGAGAUUGUGUUUGAUUGUGCUGCUUUAUGCUAUAUUCUGACUUCUGUUCUGGUUUUUGACUUUGAGUUUGGUUGUCCCUGUACCCUUUUUGUUCAUUCUAUCCACCAUUGUAUACAUGUUCACUUGGUUCACUGGCAAUAGGGGUGUGGCUGCCAUUUCUUUUGGGAGAGGGUCCUUUUGUCUUUUUUUUUUGCUUAGGUAGUUAGGGAAGCAUCCUUGUAUUUUAUUUAUUUUCCUUUAAGGUAAGAUUGCUACCUAACAAUAGAAUUCUUUUUUUCUAUUAUUUUGGCCUUGGCCCACCCUGAAGUUACGCCUGGUUUGGUUCCUUGUACAGUAAUAUGUAUAUAAUUUUGUGUGUUACAAUAUACCACUACUUUUUAACACAAACCUGGGUGUGUUGUUAUUCCUGGCUUCCCUUAUUUAAAGGUCAAAUUCCAUUGAAUCCCGAGCUGGUUACUCUGCACGGUCUAACCUAGACUGAGCCGUAACAGUGUAGUCAUACAAAUAAAAAUAAUUCCAAUUUCAGAAUUUCAUUUUGUUUGUUAAUUCACAGAUUUGUAAAGAUGUACUCACAGCUUCUGACUGGGUCGACUGUUAGAGCAGCUUCCCCAGUUCCCACUUUUAUACCUUCAGUUUUUGAACUCUAGCACACACGCACACACACACACACACACAUGGACAUGUAGCCUCUCAUUUGGCCUCAAUUCCAAUUCAAAUGGAAAGUAACAGCAUUUUACAAACACAGAAGGCCGUAGAUAAUCAUCUAGCUGUCAGUGGAUAAUAUUAAUGAUCAACUUUGUUAAAAAAUUAUACAACAAGAUUAUUGAGCCCUGUAAGGUAAUGUGCAGGGUGACUUCAGGUGAAUUGGGACAAUCCUGAUAAGUGAAGAUCAAAACUGAUGUGAUAAGAGGAACUGCGUGAUAUAAAUAAUAUCAGUUAAUUUCAUGUGACAUCAUAUAAGGGACCCUGUCCAGGGUGUACCCCGCCUUGUGCCCGAUGCUCCCUGGGAUAGGCUCCAGGUUUCCCCGUGACCCUGAAAAGGAUAAAGCGGUAUAGAGGAUGGAUGGAUGGAUGGAUCGAUCAUAUAAGGGCAUCAGUUGGUCAGUAGUGGCUCAACGGUUACUGAUUAGAAGAUUGAUGGUUCAAGCCCCAGCAUGCUGCCAUUGUUGGGUCCUUGAGUUGAGCAAGGCCCUCGACCUUCUUUGCUCCAGGGUUGCUGUAUCAUGGCUGACCCUGCACUCUGACCCCGACUUCAUAACGAGCGAGGAUAUGCCAAGAAAAUAAUUUCACCGUAUGUACAAAUAGUCAUUUCAGCGUAUUUGUAAUGUGACAAAUAAAGACAUCUUUUUUCUCUU